rnacentral:rRNA from 1 species
UACGUAGGGGGCAAGCGUUGUCCGGAAUCAUUGGGCGUAAAGAGCGUGUAGGCGGUCCGGUAAGUCGGUUGUGAAAGUCCAGGGCUCAACCCUGGGAUGCCGACCGAUACUGUCGGACUAGAGUUCGGAAGAGGCGAGUGGAAUUCCCGGUGUAGCGGUGAAAUGCGCAGAUAUCGGGAGGAACACCAAUGGCGAAGGCAGCUCGCUGGGACGUUACUGACGCUGAGACGCGAAAGCGUGGGGAGCGAACAGG